rnacentral:rRNA from 1 species
AUGGCGGAGGAACCGUCCGCCAAAUGUCAUCAAGGUGAGCCGUCGGACAAGAGCAGCAACCUCGUCGACGUUCACGUCCCCGGCGAGAAGCGAGAGUACACCACAACACUCACAGGGGUUGAGCUCCUCGGCAAGGAGACGCUGGAGAUCGUCUGCACCAGCGAACCAGACAAGGCCGACGAGGUGAUCUCCAGGCUCUGGAGGAAGCUUGGCGGCAUGCUUCGUAGGAUCGUCGGCGUUGGUGUGCACUACACCAACGAAGAUGAACCUCCCUAG